rnacentral:lncRNA from 1 species
AAAAAAGUUAUGAUGCUUGGGGAUUUCCAUGCAAAUAUAUGUUGUAAGUGUUGGGUUAUUGAACUCCCCUCCUAUGUGGAGAAUAGGCCAAAUAAUGUGGACCAUUAUGUCUCACUUUGUUUUAGUGGAGACAAGUCAGAUUAGUAGGGCACAUUAGUGUCAUUUAAAGAGAGAACCUAAGUGAGAGAGAAAGAAAGAGAAGAAGUCACAUUCCCG